UUCCAUGUUAAACUUGCAAAAUCUGAAAUUGACUCUCAUUAAUCAUUUCCAACGUCCUAUAUUUUAUUUAUCACCGUAUUGAUGAUUCAAAGUCUUGAAUAAAUCUCAACCGUGGUGGUGUAUUUCCCAUGCAAAAUUAUAUGAAGAAAUCGAAGUUUAGAACUUUCAAAGGUGCGUGGUAUCGAUGUUAAAGGUUCUCUGCGUCAAAACUAAGAGCACGUUUGGUUGGAUGGAAUUGCUAUUCCAUUCUGCAUAAAUUCCGCGCGCUAUAGUGUUGCAUGCGUUUGGUUCACCGUUUCCUCUAUUCCACUGAAUAGCUAUUACAUUGUCAUUCCCUCAUCUCACCGUUUAGGUAUUCAGGGGUUGGGGGUCUGCAUACCCAUUCAAGGCAACACCGUUUAGGUUUUAGACGAAAAUAACCUGCCUCUCUUCUUCCCAAAAUUCACUCCAGAUUUCUUCCUCCCCAAAUCAAACAUCCAUUCGCCCUUCAUCUUCAUCUCCCGUCACAUUUUCUUCUUGUUUACACGAAUUGAAGAAAUAAAGUUUCUAUUGGAUGCAAUGAAAUCCAUCAGUACCAACAAAGUACUAAACUCCUCAUCAGAAACUGCCUUUCGAAAGGCUCGUUCGUGAAAUUACCCAAGACUUUUUAAGGUGGACAGACAAGUAUCAAGUAACGGACAUAAACAAAUAUCUCCACUGCAAUGAUGAUACCAUUUACUCUUUUCUAGUAAUACAUAAAAGACAAUAUAUACAUGUUAAACUACAUUUACAUUUUGGAUUUGAUCUUUUACUUUAAACAAGAACAUUUUGGUUA